rnacentral:antisense_RNA from 1 species
CUUCAACGAGCCGAGCAGCAGCGGUUGUUGACGGCCCUGGCCGUAGGUGGCGAGGAGGGCCUGGGCCUC